rnacentral:rRNA from 1 species
UACGGAGGAUGCGAGCGUUAUCCGGAUUUAUUGGGUUUAAAGGGUGCGUAGGCGGCUUAGUAAGUCAGCGGUGAAAUUUUGCAGCUUAACUGUAACAGUGCCGUUGAUACUGCCAGGCUAGGAUUUGGUUGCUGUGGGUGGAAUGUGUGGUGUAGCGGUGAAAUGCUUAGAUAUCACACAGAAUAUCGAUUGCGAAGGCAGCUCACAAAGCCAAGAUUGACACUGAGGCACGAAAGUGUGGGGAUCAAACA